CUUGCAUGAAGACAUUCAGAGCAGCCUGUCCAGGCAGCUUCUGAAUGUCUCCAAGGAGGAGGCUUCACAGUCUCUGGGCAGUUUUGUGCUAGUGCUCUGGCGACCUACGAAGCCCUGAAGUGCUUUCUGCUGUUCAGAGGAAACUACUGUCUGCCACUGGGCACCAGAGAGAACAGCGUGGCUCUGUCCUGUUUGCACGUUCCCUCUAGGAGCAAUGGAUGAUGUACUGAUGGUGUUCCUCUGAGCCUUCUCUCCCAGCUGAGCAGCCCCAGUCCCUUCCUCAUCGGGGAAGAGCUGCAGUCCAUUGAUCAAAGGCUAUGCCACCUACACCUCACUAGGACCGUCGCAGAGGAUUUGCCUGGAGGAUGGCACUUUUGGCCCAGGUCACAUGAGGAGCGUCUCCAAGCUGCAGGUACAGCUGACUGCGUGCAUUUGAAGCACUUCAGGCAUCCUUCACAGAGCCCCAUGCCUUGCCUACCAGCACUCUGCAAGGAGGGUGGAUCAGAAACUUUGAGCUGAGUGCCUGUUCACAGAGAAUGAAGCAGACUUGUCAGCCAGCCCCUGGGUUACCUCCUUUCAUGGCAGAGAAGCACAAGAGGCGAACUCCACAGUUCCUGUGCAAGUGGGAUUUGCUCCAUCACAAAGGUAAUACUCUGUGUUUUAGUCUAACCCAAGGCAGAGAGCAUUUAAAGACCAAGGAGCUGUAAGGUCAUGUGAGAUUAAAAAGACAAGAUGUUGGUUUAUUUAUCAAGAAAAGGCCUAGCUUCAUCUUUUUAAUAAACAAAAACAUUCCUAAAACUACAAAAAAAA